rnacentral:rRNA from 1 species
GACGAACGCUGGCGGCGUGCUUAACACAUGCAAGUCGAACGAUGAAGCCUAGCUUGCUAGGUGGAUUAGUGGCGCACGGGUGUGUAAUACGCGUGUAAACUCCCCUUAACUCUGGGAUAAGACUGGGAAACUGGGUCUAAUACCGGAUAUGACCAAUCCUCGCACGGGGUGUUGGUGGAAAGCGUUAUGUAGUGGUUAUAGAUGGCCUCACGGCCUAUCAGCUUGUUGGUGUGGUAGCGGCCCACCAAGGCGACGACGGGUAGCCGGCCUGAGAGGGUGACCGGCCACACUGGGACUGAGACACGGCCCAGACUCCUACGGGAGGCAGCAGUGGGGAAUAUUGCACAAUGGGCGGAAGCCUGAUGCAGCGACGCCGCGUGAGGGAUGACGGCCUUCGGGUUGUAAACCUCUGUUGGCAGGGAAGAAGAGAAAUUGACGGUACCUGCAGAGAAAGCGCCGGCUAACUACGUG